GGAACCAGAUAACCCAAAAAACAACUGCCGGACCAAUUCUCAGGUGAAGAUGAUUCUGCCAGGAAUUGGGCGUUGUGCAUCAAGUGGCUGCAGAGGCUGGAGGAGCAUUAGAGGAGGAGAGUGGCAUUGUGACACAUACCACAGGGGUAGCGUCAGAGGAGGACAUGUCUAGCAUGUGUGCAUGUAUGAGCACUGUUACUAUAAAGAAAACAUUUGCAUUGAUGAUGCCUACUGCUGACUUUCACUGUUCCUUAGAGGCAUUGAACCCUCCACAGUCAUGCCACCCAG